CGUUGAAACACCGGUGUCCCCGUACAAUAACCGAAGAUAAGCAACGUUGAGCAUGGUCAGUACAUUGAUGGGUGACCGCUUGGAAAUACCAGGUGCUGUG